UACAGAGGGUGCAAGCGUUGCUCGGAAUCAUUGGGCGUAAAGGGUAGGUAGGUGGUCUCAUUUGUCUGGGGUGAAAGCCUUGAGCUUAACUCAAGAAGUGCCCCGGAAACGGUGAGACUGGAGUCCUAGAGAGGCUAGCGGAAUUCCCGGUGUAGCGGUGAAAUGCGUAGAGAUCGGAAGGAACACCUGUGGCGAAAGCGGCUCACUGGACCAUAACUGACGCUGAGGCGCGAAAGCUAGGGGAGCAAACAGG
rnacentral:rRNA from 1 species